GACGAACGCUGGCGGCGUGCUUAACACAUGCAAGUCGAACGGAAAGGCCCUGCUUUUGUGGGGUGCUCGAGUGGCGAACGGGUGAGUAACACGUGAGUAACCUGCCCUUGACUUUGGGAUAACUUCAGGAAACUGGGGCUAAUACCGGAUAGGAGCUCCUGCUGCAUGGUGGGGGUUGGAAAGUUUCGGCGGUUGGGGAUGGACUCGCGGCUUAUCAGCUUGUUGGUGGGGUAGUGGCUUACCAAGGCUUUGACGGGUAGCCGGCCUGAGAGGGUGACCGGCCAGAUUGGGACUGGGAUACGGCCCAGACUCCUACGGGAGGCAGCAGUGGGGAAUAUUGCACAAUGGGCGGAAGCCUGAUGCAGCAACGCCGCGUGCGGGAUGACGGCCUUAGGGUUGUAAACCGCUUUCGCCUGUGACGAAGCGUGAGUGACGGUAAUGGGUAAAGAAGCACCGGCUAACUACGUG
rnacentral:rRNA from 1 species